rnacentral:lncRNA from 1 species
CUUCCAUUUCCCAGAGAGGCCAGAGGCAGAGGGGUGCAGAAGAGAGAGCAGAGCCCCUUUGCCUGGGCACAUCUGGGCUCACUACAUGGGAAAGGGCCCCAGGACAAGGGAAGACGAGAAGAGACAGGCCAGGCCCAAGGAGGGAGAGGACCUGAGAUCGAAGAUAGGAGAGAGGAAGACAAGAAGGAGAAGCAGAAAUGAGAAGGUUGGAGAAAUCCGAAGAGGCAGCUAGGGAGAGUGGGAGUUCUGGGGGCUGAGAAGUCCAAGAUCAAGGUGCUGCCAAUUUGGUUCCUGGUGAAUGAGCAAACAGCACAGAAAAAGAAACAGCAGUAUAUGUGGAAGAAAGCAAGAAAAAUCAACUGGCCUGGAACCUAAGACUUGUCCAAAGAUGUCACAGAGAGUAAAAUGAGAAAAAUCCAG